rnacentral:tRNA from 1 species
GUCGCUUUAGCUCACUUGGGAGAGCGCCAGACUGAAGUUGUCAGUCACAAAAUCUGGAGGUACUGUGUUCGAUCCACAGAAGCGACA